AUUCCUUUCUGAAGUCAUAUGGCUCGAUUAUUACAUUUGUCUCCUGCACAGUUCAAUAGUAACUACACAGCAUUACUAUGGAGAUGACUCUUCUUAAAGACCAUUUACUCUAACACAACAACUAGAUAUGAUAUGCAGAUCCUUUGUUGCAGCACAAAACAUCUUCGUAGAAGAGCAAAUAUAAAGGAAGGACUAAUAAAAGAUUAUUCACGCAUGAUAAAAAGGGCCGAAGAGAUGAUAAGGAACAGUCAG